GAUGAACGCUGGCGGCAUGCCUAAUACAUGCAAGUCGAACGAGAGGAAGGAAAGCUUGCUUUCCUGAAUCUAGUGGCGAACGGGUGAGUAACACGUAGGUAACCUGCCCAUGUGCCCGGGAUAACUUCUGGAAACGGAUGCUAAAACCGGCUAGGUAGCAGACAAGCAUUUGACUGCUAAUAAAGUGGCCUUGGCCAUGAACAUGGAUGGACCUGCGGUGCAUUAGCUGGUUGGUGAGGUAACGGCCCACCAAGGCGACGAUGCAUAGCCGGCCUGAGAGGGCGGACGGCCACAUUGGGACUGAGACACGGCCCAAACUCCUACGGGAGGCAGCAGUAGGGAAUUUUCGUCAAUGGGGGGAACCCUGAACGAGCAAUGCCGCGUGAGUGAGGAAGGUCUUCGGAUCGUAAAGCUCUGUUGUAAGAGAAAAACGGCACUCAUAGGGAAUGAUGAGUGAGUGAUGGUAUCUUACCAGAAAGUCACGGCUAACUACGUGCCAGCCGCCGCCGUAACAC
rnacentral:rRNA from 1 species